UUCUCUUCCUCUCCUCUCCUCUCCUCUGGGAACUCUGCCUCUUACAACUUAGAAUUCACCAUGGUGGGCACCCGUCACAGCGGCCAGGUCGAGGCGGCAACCCAAACUGAGGGGACACGGCCUCUCUGGGCUCAUGUGGGCACCCAGGUGGAUCCCCUGAGGGGUGAAGUGGCAGUCCAGACUGGAGACUGUGGGGAGCUCUGGAAUCUGGAGGCCCCCCUGAGUCCUGAGGGAAGAGAGGGCUGUCGUGGGUGCAGGUGUGCCCUGCUCAAGGAACUGCUUGAGCAGAUGGCCAGGCUGCAGAGAGAAAACGGUAGCCUGAGGGGCUCCUGGGAGUCUCUGAGGGUGACAGAUAGGAAGUGUCAACCUGCCCUUGAUGAGGCCCAGCAGUGCCCUCCUAAGUCCCUGCAAGGGGGAGUAGCUGAUCCAGCUGCUCACCUGCAGAACAGAGAACUUGACUGCCCAUGAGAGGAAAGGGGCUGGACCCUUGUCUCAGUUCAAAGCAGAAGGAGGCAUCUGCCCACAACACCCAUGGUGCCACCAACCCCCACGGUGUCCCUGGGUAAUAGAUUGGAGGCUCUCGGGCAGGAAAAGGAUGAGGGUCUGGACAGUAGUCAGAACCCGGGCCCUGAGAAGCACGUCAAGGUCAAGGGAAGUACCAAGCAUAGGGUGCGGGGCCGGACAGGGCACUGCAUCCAAACUAGUGUCACAAAAAAAGGGCAG